rnacentral:rRNA from 1 species
UACGGAGGGGGCUAGCGUUGUUCGGAAUUACUGGGCGUAAAGCGCACGUAGGCGGAUUGACAAGUCAGAGGUGAAAUCCCAGGGCUCAACCUUGGAACUGCCUUCAAAACUCCCAGUCUUGAGGUCGAGAGAGGUGAGUGGAAUUCCGAGUGUAGAGGUGAAAUUCGUAGAUAUUCGGAGGAACACCAGUGGCGAAGGCGGCUCACUGGCUCGAUACUGACGCUGAGGUGCGAAAGUGUGGGUAUCAAACAGG